rnacentral:tRNA from 1 species
GCGGUAAUAGCUCAGUGGUAGAGCCCCGCUUCGCGUGCGGGGAGAUCCGGGUUCGAUUCCCGACAACUUCC